rnacentral:rRNA from 1 species
ACUCCUACGGGAGGCAGCAGUCGAGAAUCUUCCGCAAUGGACGAAAGUCUGACGGAGCGACGCCGCGUGAAGGAUGAAGGCCUUAGGGUUGUAAACUUCUGUCAGAUUUCAAAGAAGGGGGCGAGGCGAAACACCUGUCUCUUGACAUUAGGAUCAAAGGAAGCACCGGCUAACUCUGUGCCAGCAGCCGCGGUAAUACAGAGGGUGCAAACGUUGCUCGGAAUCAUUGGGCAUAAAGCGCACGUAGGCGGUCGCGUAAGUGCGGUGUGAAAGCCCCCGCUCACCGGGAAUUGGCAUGCAUACUGCGCGACUAGAGCACGAGAGGGGAGGAGCAGAACUCCUGGUGGAGCGGUGGAAUGCGUAGAUAUCAGGAGGAAUGCCGGAGGUGAAGACGGCUCUCUGGCUCGUGGCUGACGCUGAGGUGCGAAAGCUAGGGUAGCGAACGGGAUUAGAUACCCUGGUAGACAUCAC